rnacentral:rRNA from 1 species
UAGGGAAUCUUCGGCAAUGGGGGGAACCCUGACCGAGCAACGCCGCGUGAGUGAAGAAGGUUUUCGGAUCGUAAAGCUCUGUUGUUAAGGAAGAACGAGUGUGAGAAUGGAAAGUUCAUACUGUGACGGUACUUAACCAGAAAGGGACGGCUAACUACGUGCCAGCAGCCGCGGUAAUACGUAGGUCCCGAGCGUUGUCCGGAUUUAUUGGGCGUAAAGCGAGCGCAGGCGGUUAGAUAAGUCUGAAGUUAAAGGCAGUGGCUCAACCAUUGUAGGCUUUGGAAACUGUUUAACUUGAGUGCAGAAGGGGAGAGUGGAAUUCCAUGUGAAGCGGUGAAAUGCGUAGAUAUAUGGAGGAACACCGGUGGCGAAAGCGGCUCUCUGGUCUGUAACUGACGCUGAGGCUCGAAAGCGUGGGGAGCGAACAGG